rnacentral:rRNA from 1 species
GUAAGGAAUAUUGGACAAUGGACGCAAGUCUGAUCCAGCCAUGCCGCGUGAAGGAUUAAGGUCCUCUGGAUUGUAAACUUCUUUUAUAAGGGACGAAAAAAGGCUUUUCUAAGUCGUCUGACGGUACCUUAUGAAUAAGCACCGGCUAACUCCGUGCCAGCAGCCGCGGUAAUACGGAGGGUGCAAGCGUUAUCCGGAUUCACUGGGUUUAAAGGGUGCGUAGGCGGGCAGGUAAGUCAGUGGUGAAAUCCUAGAGCUUAACUCUAGAACUGCCAUUGAUACUAUCUGUCUUGAAUAUUGUGGAGGUAAGCGGAAUAUGUCAUGUAGCGGUGAAAUGCUUAGAUAUGACAUAGAACACCUAUUGCGAAGGCAGCUUACUACACAUAUAUGGACGCUGAGGCACGAAAGCGUGGGGAUCAAACAGGAUUAGAAACCCCGGUAGUCC